UCCAGUCGUACGCAACAUUUUACUUCCUAGUGUACACAAGGUUUUUAUGUGAAGGGUCACCUCCAAACAAGACAUGGAUCCUGGCAUAUCAAAAGAAUAUCUUGUGAAUGACAGCUUCCAAAGUGAUCGAGACGAGGAAACAGAGCCCACAACUACAGUUAACGUCGGAACUCGAGCUGUGAUCGAAGAACACAUUGGCGUUCCUACAUCUGCCUCGUCGAUCAACUCCGCUUCGCUUCGCGGUGAAACUGAAGGCAAAAUUUUGCUGGAUACCGACAAACGCCGUUUAGUCAACAAGUCUGGUGAGCUGAAAGUUCUUGCAAAGAAUGUUCCUCGUAAAACAAGACUUUAUCUUGCAGACAUAUUUACGACUAUGAUAGAUUUGCGCUGGAAAUGGGUCAUAUUUAUAUUUAUAUCCAGCUACAUCAUCUCAUGGGUUGUUUUUGGUUUCAUUUGGUGGCUGAUAGCGUAUGUGAGGGGCUCAACAAUCUGCAUUGAGAAGGUUAGAAGCUUUACAGCUGCUUAUCUUUUCUCUGUUGAAACUCAAGAAACAAUUGGUUAUGGGCAGAAAGCAAUCACAACAAAAUGCCCUGAGGCAGUCAUAGUCCUGCAACUUCAGACCCUUGUGGGAUUACUUAUAGACGCGUUCAUGCUAGGACUGACAUUUGCCAAGCUCUCGAGACCACGAGAGCGGGGGAAGACUGUUAUGUUCUCGGAGUAUGCUGUUAUAGCCCCGAGAGAUGGAAAAAUGUGUCUGAUGCUUCGAAUUGGAGACGUGAGAAAGAGUCAAAUUGUUGACGCAUCUGUCCGAAUGCAGCUAUUCAGAACUCACACUACUAAAGAAGGAAAAGAAAUCCCGUUUCACCAAGAGGAUCUUAAAGUGUGCUACGAUUGGCGUGACCCUGACAACGACUUCAGGAAUAAACUGUUUUUACUCUUGCCUCUAGUAGUCAUCCACAUAAUUGACGAGAACAGUCCCUUUUAUGACGUCACACCUCAAAUGCUCCAGCGCUCAGAUUUCGAAGUUGUGGUAGUACUGGAUGGAGUGGUUGAAGCGACCGGGCUGAACACACAGCCUAAGUCUUCUUACCUCAGCAGUGAAAUCUUGUGGGGCUAUGACUUCUGUAACACUCUGGAGAAGUCUCAAUUCAGUGAGAAAGGCUUCUACCAUGCCGAUUUUUCUAGAUUGAAUGACAUACAUGUGGUUGAAACGCGAAGGUGUUCGCCAAGAGAGUAUUACAGGCAGAAACAACAGGAAGAGGCCUAGAAACGUGUGUUUUGUCAGUCCAUGAAGUGCUUUCUCUCCUUCAUAUUGGGAAGAAUCAGUGCUCAGAAAAAGUGACCGCAGUGGUCAAAGUCGGUCAUGUGUAAUUGGAUUAUUUUCUGUCAGUCUUUACACCAAUUUCCCGCGUAUGAUUUAAGAGGAAAACAUUAGGCACAGAAGAUUGCUGUUAUGCAAAAUAUGCGGAAAAAUUGAAUCGUUCUUAGAAAAAUACCAAAGGAAACAAAAGAAAGGAGUAGGACAACUGAGGACUUUUCGACUGCAAAGUUUAUUUGAUUAAGGUUUUCUGUUUACAUACCAUUUUGUGAAAGAUUUCUGCGUCACCCUGUACAAUUUAAAGGCAAAGCAUUUGUCACAAAGUAAAUUAGCUUGUGGAAAACGUGGUAAAUUCCAGCAUUGCAGGUUCGUGCGUAUGCCCAUACCGGAACCAGCUGUCUUUAGUUGCCUUGGAGAACUAUCCGCAUUGAAAGCCUGAACUGGAAGUUAUUGCGAAGUUGUCUGCUGACCACUGAACAAUACUGACGGACUGCGCACGACUCAGUGGAUCAUGGAGCAUGUCUAUUCUCGUGUUAGAUGUUAGAAAGGAUUGCUUCGCUUCGUGAUUGAUCUGGAAACCGGGCCUCCUUUUCAACCGAUUUAACGUGUAAUUAACGUGACUAAAACCACCCUCGACUUAGACACUCGUGUUAGUCCGCCCCUACAUGAAUUCAUUAGUUUCUUUUGAUCCUUAUCAGUUUGAGUUGCUCUGAUUAGCAGUCAUUAGAUCAUUUUUCUUUUUGCUUGUCGGCUUUUAGUUGAAAAAAGUUCUGGCGGAGAUUCAGCAAACAAACAUUGUUCAAUGCGGUGAUCAUAAA